ensembl:lncRNA
GUUCUUCUCUUUGUCUCUGCACUUGAGCACUCUGUUCUACAUCAUACCUCAUCAUUUCAUACCUUCGUUUUUCUAGAUCUUUCUUCUCGUUCUGGACCUGAACUCUAAUCUGUUUGAGUUCCUCUCUCUCCUUGUCCAUCUCAGCUAAACGCUUUUCCUGAUCUUCCUUGUCCUUCAACGCAGCUGUUUUCAGUUCCUCAACAAACUCUUUCUCUUGCUGUGUAUCCUCCAGCAUUUUCUGCAGGUUUUCUUUUUCAGAAUACCUCAACUUUUCUAGCUCAUGUCUGGCUCUUUGUAUCUCUUCAUUUAUUUGUUCUAACUCCUCUGUUUUUUUGUGUAUUUCAUCUCUUUGCUCCAACGCCUCUGUUAUGGUUUCAUACCGUCUCUUUUCUGACUCUUCCAUUUGCUUUUUUAAGAGCAUCUCAGCCUCUUGGACAGCAAGUUUGGCAUGGUUUGCCUCCUCCUUUUCUUGUUUUGCAACUCUAAUCCUGUUCUCUAUUUCUGCCUUUUGUUUUUGUAGCUCAUUUCUCAUUUUUUCCAUUUUCUCAUUUUCCCGGAUUGUGACUUCUUGGCUGUUCUCAAUAUCCUCUUUGGCUCUGUCUAUCUCAUGUUUAAUUCUUUCUAACUCUUGUCUCUCCCUCAUCAUCUCCUCUUGUCUUCGGUUCAAGCUGUCUUUUUCAGCCUUGAUCUCUGCUUUGAUUAGUUCUGUCAUUUCUCUUUCUUGUCUGGCUUCUUCUCUUAUCUUAAAACUUUCUUCCUUCUCCUUCAGUAUCUUUGCUUUCUCCGUAUCGUUAGCCCUUUGUAUCUCUACUCUUAAACUCUCCACCUCGUCUCUCUCCCUCUGCAGUCGAGCUCUGUGCUCUAGCUCCUCUGUCACUAUCUCAUACCUCUUCUUCUCCAUUUCUUCUUUAGCUUUUCGUAUAUCAUCCUUCUGUUUUUCUAGAAUAUCUUUGUCCUUCUGCAUCUCUAUUUUCAUAUGUUUCACCCUAUCAGUUUCUCUUUUUAUUUCCUCAACUCUGGCAUCCAUAGAUAUCAUGUGAUUUUGUAUGUCCACUUUGGCCUGUCCGAUCUUUUCCCAUUCCUUUUUGACCAACUCUCUAUUCAUCACCAACUCCUCUCGACCUC